UCGAACGGCAGCAUAGAGAGCUUGCUCUCUGAUGGCGAGUGGCGAACGGGUGAGUAAUACAUCGGAACGUGUCCGUUUGUGGGGGACAACCACCCGAAAGGGUGGCUAAUACCGCAUAAGACCUGAGGGUGAAAGCCGGGGACCGCAAGGCCUGGCGCGAACGGAGCGGCCGAUGACUGAUUAGCUGGUUGGCGGGGUAAAGGCCCACCAAGGCGACGAUCAGUAGCUGGUCUGAGAGGACGACCAGCCACACUGGAACUGAGACACGGUCCAGACUCCUACGGGAGGCAGCAGUGGGGAAUUUUGGACAAUGGGGGCAACCCUGAUCCAGCCAUGCCGCGUGCGGGAAGAAGGCCUUCGGGUUGUAAACCGCUUUUGUCAGGGACGAAAAGGUGCGGGUUAAGAGCUAGCACUGAUGACGGUACCUGAAGAAUAAGCACCGGCUAACUACGUGCCAGCAGCCGCGGUAAUACGUAGGGUGCGAGCGUUAAUCGGAAUUACUGGGCGUAAAGCGUGCGCAGGCGGUUGGGUAAGACAGAUGUGAAAUCCCCGGGCUUAACCUGGGAACUGCAUUUGUGACUGUCCGACUGGAGUAUGUCAGAGGGGGGUGGAAUUCCAAGUGUAGCAGUGAAAUGCGUAGAUAUUUGGAAGAACACCGAUGGCGAAGGCAGCCCCCUGGGGCAAAACUGACGCUCAUGCACGAAAGCGUGGGGAGCAAACAGG
rnacentral:rRNA from 1 species